rnacentral:lncRNA from 1 species
UGGCUGGAGUAUGGUGACAAAGUUGUUCCUACUGACGAGGAACACAUAGCUGAAGCUAUCUGUGCUGCAACUGAUGUGAUCGCUGGUAUGUCCUGUCUCUCUUUUCUCUCUCAUUCAGUGUUAAGUGUAUUUUUCUGCUGUAAACCUGCAAGAGAGAUUACUGUGAUGAGACCUUAAUCUGAAACAUAGAUAUUUUAUAAGAAGUUAUCUACUUACCAUACAAGUAUCUGAUUCUAGAUGUGUACAAUAUAACUGAAUAAAAUUGUUAUAGGUGUUAUUUGAUUCUGGAACUACUAGUUUAGUCAUUAUUGAUCUGAUAUUUUUCAUACUCUUAGACUACUUUUACUAUUUGAUGAAACUUAGAUUUUUCGUGUUUGACACUAACCAGUCCUGUGGAAGAGAGAUUACUGUGAAUGAGACCUUUACCUGAAACAUUGAUAUUAUAAAUGAGUAAUUUACUUACAAUAGAAGUCCAUGAAAAUUUGUACAUAUACCUAAAAACCAUUGCCUAGAAGUAUUAUAUGAUUUUGGUACUCCUAUUUUGGUCUUCAUUCAUCUUACAUUUUUCAUGAUGCUACUUUACUAUAUGAUGAAACGCGUGUUUUGAGACUAAAUAUUUUUUGAUUCGUAAUUACAAAAUAACUGUGCUGCAGGAUCCGGAAAAGGGGUCUCAGACACUCCCUUGACUCUACAUGUGAAGAAAGCUGGUGCUCCCGAUCUUACCAUGGUCGAUCUUCCCGGAAUAACUCGUGUUCCAGUGAAUGGACAGCCGGAAAACAUCUAUGAGCAGAUCUCAGGGAUGAUUAUGAAGUACAUUGAGCCUCAAGAAUCAAUCAUCCUCAAUGUGCUAUCAGCUACGGUCGACUUC